rnacentral:tRNA from 1 species
GUCUUUGUAGCGCAAUCGGUAAGCGCUUUUGGCUGUUAACUGAAAGGUUGGUGGUUCAAGCCCACCCAGGAACA